UCUUAUCCUGGGAGAGCCCCUGGUUUGACAGGAGAGGCCAGCCCCUGCCUUUUGGGACUUCCUAGUCUGUUGGGUAAGACACCGUCCCUACCCUAGGAUAAUUUCUACCCUUAGAUGCAAAGAGAACCACCAGACAAUGGAAUAAGAAAGCAGAACACAGUGUAAUUCUCAAGCACGAAUAUAGUUUAGGUUUGGCAAGAGAACUAGGGGAGACCCGGAGUGAAUGCCACACCCAGGAUGGCCAUGGGAAUGGAAAGCCAAACACCUCUCCAGGGUACACUGAUGAUGACAUGCCACGAUGUUACUUGCAUUCUGAGGCCCCCUCCUGGGUGUGGAUAAUUUGGAAUCAGUUAAAAGGGAGUCUUGAUGCGUGGAUUUGGGUCCCCAAACUGCCACCUCCUUUGGCUCUUUCCUGACCCUGAAGAGAACCUGACCCGGAUGUACCAAGACCUUGCCGGAAGCCUCUAGCCAGAGCAGCUGGCCCUGGACUCCCACUGGGACACUGACUGGGAGAUUCUUAGAGCACUGAACGAUUGGCCCUCCACCUUCCCAGCGGCUCUUUGGGAAAAGAUGCCCAUUGCAUGAAGCGGGGCCUCUCAAGGAGGAGCCCCAGGUCACCUGUUGCAACAGAAUCGCCUGGGAGCUCCAAGGCCCAGCCCCAACCCAUACCCAAUGAGUCUGAAUCUCCAGGAGGUGCCCAGACAUCUGCACAUCCAGCAGGUUCCCAGCUUCACAUUGUAAGGCUCCACCUCUUUCCACCCCCAGGAUCUUCAGGGGCACAGUAAAGUGUCCACCAUGAGCUGCCUUCACCCCAGCCCUUGGGACCAUGUGGGGACCGGGUGGGAACUCUGGGCUCCUGUGACACUCAGACCAAGCCCCUCACAUUGCAGGGGCCCUGCUCAGCAUCCUGGAGGGGAGCAACCCUUCUGGGACCAGGAAAACCCAAUUUUGUCCUCCAUUUCUGUUCCUCCUGGGGGCUGUGAACCUCAGGCAGGGUCCCUCGGUCUGGGUCCCGUAUGAACUCCUCUUCACCUUUCUGGCCAGGUUAUCAGAAUGGGCAGGGUUGUAAGUGGUUCAGAGUUUGAGCUCUGGGGUCAGGCGGAGCCGAGUUCAGCCUUGGCACAUUCCCCUGCACCAGCCCGUGCCCUGGGGUGAACCCCUGGGCUCCCUUGGCCUCUUCUCAGCUCCUCACUGUGUCCCACCCCUCUGCCAUCUCCUCUUCUCCCCUCCAGCUAUGGGACGAUCUGUCCCGAGUUCACUUUCUUCUUUUCUAUUUCCUACUCCCAUGUCCCCAAACACAUCCCGCCCUACAGUUCCCCACCUCCAGGCCCUGCACGGGCCCUUUGCUCUGUUUGGCAUGCUCCUGCCCUCCUGCAUCCUGGCAGUCUAAACUUUAAGUGAGACCUGCAUGGAGCAGGGAGACUGGCCAGAAGUCUUAAUUAACUUCAAAAUUUAAAGCUGGAAGAGAGGGAUAUGAUUUGGCUCUGUGUCCCCACCCAAAUCUGAUGUCGAAUUGUAAUUCCCAAUGUUGGGGGAGGGACCUGGUGGGAGGUGAUUGGAUCGUGGGGGCAGAUUCCCCCCCUUCGUGUUCUUGUGAUAGUGAGUGAGUUCUCAUGAGAUCUGUUUGCUUAAAAGUGUGUAGCAUCUCCCCCUUUGCUCUCUCUCUCCUGCUGCUAUGUGAAGAUGUGGUUGCUUCCCCUUCACCUACCACCAUGGUUAUGUUUCCUGAGGCCUCCCAGCCAUGCUUCCUGCAUAGCCUGUGGAACUGUGAGUCAAUUAAAUCUGUUUUCUUCAUAAAUUACCCAGCCUCAGGUAGUUCUUUAUGGUAGUGUGAGAACAGACUAACACAGAGAGUUUUAAAUUCUUUAGUUGUAGGCCUUUGCCCAGGAUGGAGUAGCAGGGACUGUAUUUCCUUCCCCUUCAAAACUUUCAGACAGCUGGAGAGGAUAUAUGGAACAUCAGUUUCAAGGUACUGGACAUCAGGCAAUGAAGGAAAGAAAUU
rnacentral:lncRNA from 1 species